rnacentral:rRNA from 1 species
AUACGUAGAGGGCGAGCGUUGUCCGGAAUCACUGGGCGUAAAGGGUACGCAGGCGGAAAUACAAGUCAAAUGUGAAAGGUACCGGCUCAACCGGUGAAAUGCAUUUGAAACUGUAUAUCUUGAGUAUAGGAGAGGAGAGCGGAAUUCCUGGUGUAGCGGUGGAAUGCGUAGAUAUCAGGAAGAACACCAGUGGCGAAGGCGGCUCUCUGGCCUACAACUGACGCUCAUGUACGAAAGCUGGGGGAGCGAACGGGAUUAGAUACCCCGGUAGUCCCAGCCGUAAACGAUGGACACCAGGUGUUGGGGGUUCGAAUCCUUCAGUGCCGCAGUUAACGCAAUAAGUACCCCGCCUGGGGAGUACGGCCGCAAGGUUGAA